UACGUAGGGUGCAGGCGUUACUCGGAAUUACUGGGCGUAAAGCGUGCGCAGGCGGUUGGGCAAGACAGAUGUGAAAUCCCCGGGCUCAACCUGGGAACUGCAUUUGUGACUGCACGGCUAGAGUGUGUCAGAGGGGGGUAGAAUUCCACGUGUAGCAGUGAAAUGCGUAGAUAUGUGGAGGAAUACCGAUGGCGAAGGCAGCCCCCUGGGAUAACACUGACGCUCAUGCACGAAAGCGUGGGGAGCAAACAGG
rnacentral:rRNA from 1 species